rnacentral:rRNA from 1 species
AACGAACGCUGGCGGCGUGCUUAACACAUGCAAGUCGAACGAUGAAGCUGGAGCUUGCUCUAGCGGAUUAGUGGCGAACGGGUGAGUAACACGUGAGCAAUCUGCCCUUGACUCUGGGAUAACUGCGGGAAACUGUAGCUAAUACCGGAUACUUUCACCGGGGGGCAUCCUCUGGUGAUGAAAGAAUUUCGGUCAAGGAUGAGCUCGCGGCCUAUCAGCUUGUUGGUGAGGUAACGGCUCACCAAGGCGACGACGGGUAACCGGCCUGAGAGGGGGACCGGUCACACGGGGACUGAGACACGGCCCAGACUCCUACGGGAGGCAGCAGUGGGGAAUAUUGCACAAUGGGCGCAAGCCUGAUGCAGCAACGCCGCGUGAGGGAUGAAGGCCUUCGGGUUGUAAACCUCUUUUAGCAGGGAAGAAGCGAAAGUGACGGUACCUGCAGAAAAAGCACCGGCUAACUACGUGCCAGCCGCCGCGGUAA